UACGUAGGGGGCAAGCGUUGUCCGGAUUUAUUGGGCGUAAAGAGCGUGUAGGCGGUUUGGUAGGUCCGCUGUGAAACUCGAGGCUCAACCUCGAGACGCCGGUGGAAACCAUCAGGCUAGAGUCCGGAAGAGGAGAGUGGAAUUCCUGGUGUAGCGGUGAAAUGCGCAGAUAUCAGGAGGAACACCAAUUGCGAAGGCAGGUCUCUGGGCCACUACUGACGCUGAGAAGCGAAAGCAUGGGGAGCGAACAGG
rnacentral:rRNA from 1 species